rnacentral:lncRNA from 1 species
GGGUAAAUAAAUUAUUUGAAAAAAAUAUAAAAAAUACAAAAAGAAGUUUGAUAAGAGAAUUCGAAAGACUCCUAAGAAAUUGAGAACUCAAAAGAAACUGAAUGAAAAAUGGAUCUGUGAUAUUUUAUUUAAACUAAAAGAUGAAUAUCAAUUUAGACAUAAAGCUUUGAUAGAUUCUGGAGUCGAUGUAAACUGUAUUAGACAAGACUUAAUUCCUUC